GCCUGGUGUCAGUCAGGGCCCCGAGGGUGACGAGCCUGGAGCGGGUGAGACAGCCGCCCACAUCUGGGUGACCCGCGUGACACGCUCACUCUCCGUCUCCCGCCUUGCUCAGCCGUGUGCAGGCCCGACUGGUGACCCUCCCAGAGGUGACUCCGGCCGCCCGCUGCUCGGCGGCCGGUGCAGCAGUCAGGGCCAGGGUGGGCCUCCCGGCUGGGCUGCGCGCUGCGCCGGGCUCUGGUUCUGAGCCGGUUUCUCUCUGUCCUGUGGGCUGGGUCACGCUUCUCUAAGGCGUGUCCCAGGUUUCUGAGGAUAGGCUGUGCAGAGCCGGUCACAGAGGGUGGCGGGUGCAUCCUCAGUACAGGCAGCACAGUAGCAGAGAUCCUCGGGGCUGCGGGGGGCCGGCGCCCUUGGUUUUAAGAGUGACUUAGGUGGGUACAGUGCAGAGGCGCUCCUCUGCUCCUUGAGAUGUGCUUCCCAGAAUCCUUGCUUCUGCGGGCUCUGCGCCAGCGAGUGAGUCUGCCAGCCCCGUCCUCUGCAGCCGCCUCGGCACAAGGCCGCCUGCGAGCGCUGCUCCAACCUGCGGUCCUUCUGCGCCUGGCGGGGCCCAUCCCAGCACCAAAGCAGCUGCAGCGCCACCGCCUGCCCGUGGCUCUGCGUUUCAGGUCUUGGAGACAGGUGCCUGCGGACCGGGCUGCAGGGCUUGUCCCUUUUCCUGUCCAGUGGGCGAGCCCACAGGGCCGCACACCUGUGUCUGUCCCUUCCCUGAUGGCUCCACCCUGGGAGGAUGUUCCAACACCCCUCUGCAGGUGGGGUGGGGGCGACAGCUGGAGUGAUCUGCGCACGGUUUGGGGGCCCUUCUGGUAGCGAGGGAACCGCCUCUUCCCCGCCACACCCCACUCAUCGCAGGGCCUUCCCCUGAGGCUCUCUUGACCAGGGUGGGGCUCGGCCCCGCACCCCUAGAGGUGUCCUGUGGCAGUGAGCGCGCUGUGAUGGGUGUGAAUGCUAGUCCCCUGGGGUGGUGGGGGUGUGCGUGCGUGCGUAUGUAUGUGAUCUGAUGAUUCCUGCCUUCCUCAGCCCAUCUGUCUUAGCUUCCCGGUGGACAUGGGAGUGGAUUGCCAUUUGUUCCUUCGGGGGACCUUCCUGACUUCGGGGAUCAAGCUCGGGUCCCUUGUGUCUGCUGCACUGGCAGGUGGAUCCUUUACCACUGUGCCCCUGGGAGGCUUGUCAUUACACACAUACCCCUCCUUCUUUAGUCUCCCUCCCACCCACACCCGCAGCUUGUUCUCAGCUAGACAGAGGCCUAGGGAAAGAAGGAAAAGUAGGAAAAUGUGAAGAAAGGAAGUAACACCCUGGGCUUGGAGAGAUGACAGGGGAAAGAGAUGGGGGAAAAGUGGGAAGUGAGUAAUUGUGUCCAUUCAACAGUAGGGGGUGAUGAAGGACAGUGGAACAGAGCUGUUGGUUAGUCCAGCCCAGUCCCCAGGGUGGAGCGGAUGCUGACGGAGCCCAGUGUGGAGAUGGGUUUCCAGGGGACAGGUCAGGAGAGGCCUGGGGAGGGAUCCCACUGACAGUCUGACUGCCCGUAGCUGCCUUCCUGUCUGUUGUGCCAAAAGUUUGACUUCAGUUUUAGAUUCAAAGGAUUCAACAACAAAACAAACCUCUUGUUACAAUUUCAAUUUCUUAUAGAAGGUUAUUUGACUUAAUAUACAGUCAUUAAAAGAAAAGAAUAGAAACAAUAGAGAGAAGUCACAGUGCGUGUAUCACCAGAUUGGGUCAACAACCUACAUCCAGACUCCAGCAGGCUGGGAAGUCCGUGUUAAUAGCAGUCUGGGGUCCCGAUUGGGAAAGGGUCCCGGGCGGUGUGUCUGCCCCAUGGGAGAUCCUUCAAAUUGGAGUUCUUGGGUUUCCUGUUUACAACCUCAGGCCCCAAACCGAUAUCAUGAUCAGUUUGUGCACAGAAAUGUAGCUCUGGUUUCACUUUAACUUUGACAGUGCUAUUUGUUUCAUCUCUAAGAUCUAUUAGACCAUGAGGGGCUUGCCAGGUCUCCAGGGCUUUAAGAGAUUCUAGGACCCAUUCCCUUCCUUAUCUCAAGUGCCACUUGACUUGCUUGUGCUUGCAGGAGAUGCAGGUUUGAUCCCUGGGUCAGGAAGAUCCCCUGGAGGAGAGCAUUGCAACCCACUCUGGUAUUCUUGCCUGGAGAAUCUCAUGGACAAGAGGAGCCUGGCGGGCUCCAGUCCAUAGGGUCACAGAGAGUCGGACGUGACUGAGCGUGCAUGGUUUUUACUUAACCAUCUGUUUGUUUGACCUUGUGCGUCAUAAGACUCCGUAGACCCUGAGGGGCUGGCCAGGCCUCUAGGGGCUUAAGAGAUUGCAGGACCCAUUCCUUUUCUUAUCUAGAGUGCCACCUGACUCACUGUGCUCGCAGGCAGGGCUGGAAUCCUGGCAGGUCAAGAGCAGGUGAGAGCCCUGCUCCCCCGCUUCUGAAGCCUGAACAGGACGUUUCUCCGUGUGUUUCCCCAAUACUGUCCUGACUGCACUUUGGUUUCCCAGACCUGUGGCUUGUGCUCGUCGGCCUCCCUGCCCUGCCGCCAGUCUCUGGCCACCUGUGUCUGCCUCCCAAGCCUUCGUGGCCCUUCUCUUCCUCCUCCCCUUAGUUUGCCUAAAUUACUUUCCCAGCUGAUUGUUGUACCCUUGGAAUAAAAACGGGAAGAGCUAACAUUUCACUGGUAAUGCCUGUGACCCCGGCUGCUGUCUGACCGCUUCUGCAGAGUAGUCCUCUCAUGGAGAGAGGGGCUUGUGAUGCCCUGUUACAGGCGAGGGAGCAGAAGCACAGGGAAGUUGGGUGACCUCCCAGAAUCUCACAGCGCUGACGGGCAGAGCCCAUCCAGGCCUGGAGUGGGUCCUUUGGGCUAUCUGUGGUCCCCUGAGCCCUGGGAAGCAGGGCUGAGGGGAAGGUCUGCACACGCUUCUGCUCCUGGCCAGGUGUCCUCCUCAGAUGGAACACGGUCCUCAAAACAGGGUGAUGGGAGUCCCAGAGCGUUUCUUUUUGUUAACUUCAGAUGUUGCCAAAUCGCCCUUUGCAGUACACGAGUGCCCUUGUUUCCCAAGAUACUUGCCAGUGCUGCCUUCUUGGGACUUUUUACCCAGAGAAGGGGGUAUCUCAUUUUCUGUUCGUUUUGUUCUGUGGGCACACAUGUCUUCUUUGUUGCCAUUUGAUUUGUUCCCACUGCUUUGUACCCACUCUGUCUGUUGAGCGCUUUGUGAGUGAAGGGUGAGUGCGUCCAUGGUGGGUCCGAGAAGGCUUCUCUGCCCAUGUGGAGUCUUGCGCUUUCACUGUGGGGCCGGGAAGGAACUGCUCUGCCCGAGAAGCGCGGAGAUGGGGCUGGGCUGCAGCUGGCCUCCCCCUCCAGACCCCUACCUGCUGUGACUCUGCGGGCGGGGUCCUGGGCAGCGGGCCCACGUGCACACUCAGGGUGGCGGGGGUUUCCCCAGCUGGCCUGGGCUCUAACUUUGGGCUGGUGGUUUCGCAGUAAAGACAUUCUCUUUAUGUGGCCGCACCUCCCGAGCUCUUCAGUGCUUUGCCUUAGGUGGAGCUGGGUUCCAGCAGGUACUGUGUGGUUCAUAAAAUCUGUCGCCAGUUAUCUGUAGAUUUUAAGUGGUAUUGACCCUGAGUUGU